rnacentral:miRNA from 1 species
UGCCGGGGCAAUAAAAGCUCUGA